UUAAAGCCAUGCAUUGUAUGUUCAAAUAUACUAAGAAGUAGUGAUUCCAGAUGUAUGUAUUUUUUUCUCAAGCAGUUGUUCUACCUGCAAAAAGUGGAUGUGGUCAUCAGUACCAUAAAGCUGCUUCAAGCCCGACUCUUUUUUCUUCAGUUCGUCAAUCUCCUGUUCCAGACGCUCGAUCAGAGCCUCGGCUUGGUUGAACGCGGCCUUCUCGUUGAUACCGAUCAGCUUGGUCACCUCCGACCUCAUCCUCUCGAUGGAGCGAAUCAUGUCCUCGAACAUCUUCUGACUCUCCAACAUCGCUCUCUGGGCCGAGUUCUGCACAGGACACAGGGAAUGGGAACAAUCUGCAGAAUCUGGAGCCCUACAUGAUACAUUGAUGUUACCUUCAAUGAAUCCACCGCGGUCUUCAGCUCGUCCAGCUCCUUGACCCUCUCCUGGCAUUUUUGCCUGAUCUCAGCUGUGGAGAUUCCCAAGAGUUUCUGGAACAAAGGAGAAUGAUGCCAUGGAUGAUCAUACACCAUCAGACCAGGCGACAGAAGGAUCCUACCUGUUUCUCACUCCUCUCGGCCUCGGCGGAGACGAUGUCGUGUCCCUUGUGUUCACUGACCGUGCAGAUGGCACAGAUACACAUCUGGUCGGUCCGGCAGAAGAGCUCCAAUGACUUCUGGUGCUGCGGGCAGAUCUUCCUGUCCAGGUUCCCCAGCUCGUCUACCAACUUGUGCCUUUUAAAAGUGGCUGACUCGUAGUGAGGCUUCAGGUGCUUCUCGCAGUAAGACGCCAGACAGUUGAGACAGGACUUCACGGCCUUGAGUUUCUUCCCGGAGCAGAAGUCACACGGCACAUCGCUCGGCCCGGCGUAGCCGUUCCCCUGGGGCGUGUUGACGUUGACGUUGAGGUUGAAACCGCUCUUUUUGAUCUUCUCGGCCACCAUACUGAGUGUGGCGUUGGGGCGCAGCACGGGCCUCUGAGUGAAGGUGAUCUUGCACUGGGGGCAAAUGUAAAUCCCGGUGUAGUCUGCCUCGUUCCAGUACCCGCUGAUGCAGUCCAUGCAGAAGCUGUGGCCGCAUGGGAUAGCCACAGGAUCCCUCAGGAGGUUCACGCACAGGGUGCAGCUGAAGUAGUCCGGGGACGUGUGAUCAGCCAUUGUCAACUUUUCACGACAGAAAAAUGCCAGGAGCAGAGAGCGUAGAGUGGAGUCUGUGUGGGAGUCCGCCCUCCAGAGUUGUGUGGUACAGCCUGCCCGAGACAGGACCUACUUGUAUUUCUGAAUUCCAGAGGUUAUUGAUUGAAAGCAGACAAGGCCCGCCUCCUGAACUGGGAGUAUACGGGAGCCCUGCCCUGCUCAGAUAAGCAGGUUGAGCAAGGGUGGAGAGUAAGAGAGCGAGCGAGAGAGAGAGAGCGAGAGAGUCAUGUAGGAAGACAGGAAAGAGAGGAAACCGAAGGCCUCAGAAUGAAUGAAAUGUGAAAAGUUUGAAACGAGAAAAGAAAUACGCUGGACGGACGACGCCUCCGUUUCCGGUGCAGCUUACUUUUUCAAUUCCUCCAGCGGCUCAUCUCGAGGAUGACUGGUGCACGCUUCUCCGCAGCUGUAUUUCCACCUAUUGUUGUCAGACAGAAUCGCCAUUGUCUGAAACCGGUUACAGUCCAACAAACACAGAUGGGAGGCCGAGGUAGCGCUGGAAUUUAAGGGACCACCCAAUAAACAAACACGUUGCGAGCCCGAGCGUUUUCAGGAAAAACAUCCCCUUUCCAUCUCCUGGAAUGAAAGAUCUUCCAUGUUGUCUUUGGUAAUUCCAGCAUUUGAUCAUUUUAGCAACUUUAAUGCAAUUUAUAUCAAAGUACCCCCGCCCCCCUUCAUUUUUGGACGUUUUAUUAUAUUAUAAAUAUAUUAUAUUUAUAUAAAUAUGCCAGCCGGCAACUCCUGGGAAGGUUAACCACUGUUCUGUGUUUUCACCGUUUGUAGAUAAUGGCUCUCACUGUGGUUGGCUGGAGUCCUAAAGCUUUAGAAAUACCUUUAGAAGCUUUUCCAGACUGUUAAGUUAUGUUUUAACGGGGGGAAAUGACUUUUUCACACAGGGCCACGUAAAUUUUGAUUUUUUUCCUCUGUUAAUCAUAAAUAUGUAAUAUAAUAUAAUGUAUAUAUAUAUAUAUAUAUAUAUACAUACACAGUAUUUUCAGGUUGGCUGUUCCUGCGACUUAUACUCCAGAGUGUCUUAUAAAUGAAUAUAAAAAAAUAAGAAAAUUAAUGUUAAAACUAAAAUCAAAUGUGAAAUAUAAAUGUUAAAAUAAAUAUUAAAUAUAUAUAAAUAAUAUAAUGUAAUAUAAUAUAAUGUAAUAUAUCUAUAUAUAUCACAUUUUCCAGACUAUAAGUCGCACUUUUUUCAUAGGCUGGCUGUUCCUGCGACUUAUACUCCAGAGUGACUUAUAAAUGA